CCUACGGGAGGCAGCAGUGAGGAAUAUUGGUCAAUGGGCGCGAGCCUGAACCAGCCAAGUAACGUGAAGGAUGACUGCCCUACGGGUUGUAAACUUCUUUUAUAAAGGAAUAAAGUGAGGCACGUGUGCCUUUUUGUAUGUACUUUAUGAAUAAGGAUCGGCUAACUCCGUGCCAGCAGCCGCGGUAAUACGGAGGAUCCGAGCGUUAUCCGGAUUUAUUGGGUUUAAAGGGAGCGUAGAUGGGUUGUUAAGUCAGUUGUGAAAGUUUGCGGCUCAACCGUAAAAUUGCAAUUGAUACUGGCAGCCUUGAGUGCAGGUGAGGUAGGUGGAAUUCGUGGUGUAGCGGUGAAAUGCUUAGAUAGCACGAAGAACACCGAUUGCGAAGGCAGCUUACUAGACUGCCACUGACAUUGAUGCUCGAAAGUGUGGGUAGCAAACAGGAUUAGAUACCCCAGUAGUC
rnacentral:rRNA from 1 species